ACGUAGGGUGCAAGCGUUGUCCGGAAUUAUUGGGGCGUAAAGAGCUCGUAGGCGGUUUGUCGCGUCUGCUGUGAAAUCCCGAGGCUCAACCUCGGGCUUGCAGUGGGUACGGGCAGACUAGAGUGCGGUAGGGGAGAUUGGAAUUCCUGGUGUAGCGGUGGAAUGCGCAGAUAUCAGGAGGAACACCGAUGGCGAAGGCAGAUCUCUGGGCCGUAACUGACGCUGAGGAGCGAAAGCAUGGGGAGCGAACAGGAUUAGAUACCCUGGUAGUCCAUGCCGUAAACGUUGGGCGCUAGAUGUAGGGACCUUUCCACGGUUUCUGUGUCGUAGCUAACGCAUUAAGCGCCCCGCCUGGGGAGUACGGCCGCAAGGCUAAAACUCAAAGGAAUUGACGGGGGCCCGCACAAGCGGCGGAGCAUGCGGAUUAAUUCGAUGCAACGCGAAGAACCUUACCAAGGCUUGACAUACACCGGAAACGGCCAGAGAUGGUCGCCCCCUUGUGGUCGGUGUACAGGUGGUGCAUGGUUGUCGUCAGCUCGUGUCGUGAGAUGUUGGGUUAAGUCCCGCAACGAGCGCAACCCUCGUUCUAUGUUGCCAGCGGGUUAUGCCGGGGACUCAUAGGAGACUGCCGGGGUCAACUCGGAGGAAGGUGGGGAUGACGUCAAAUCAUCAUGCCCCUUAUGUCUUGGGCUUCACGCAUGCUACAAUGGCCGGUACAAAGGGCUGCGAUACCGUAAGGUGGAGCGAAUCCCAAAAAGCCGGUCUCAGUUCGGAUUGAGGUCUGCAACUCGACCUCAUGAAGUCGGAGUCGCUAGUAAUCGCAGAUCAGCAACGCUGCGGUGAAUACGUUCCCGGGCCUUGUACACACCGCCCGUCAAGUCAUGAAAGUCGUAACACCCGAAGCCGGUGGCCUAACCCUUGUGGAAGAGCCGUCGAAGUGGAUCG
rnacentral:rRNA from 1 species